UGGGGAAUUUUGCACAAUGGGGGAAACCCUGAUGCAGCGACGCCGCGUGAUUUAGAAGGCCUUCGGGUUGUAAAAAUCUUUUCUAUGGGAAGAAAAUGACAGUACCAUAGGAAUAAGGACCGGCUAAUUACGUGCCAGCAGCCGCGGUAAUACGUAAGGUCCGAGCGUUGUCCGGAAUCAUUGGGCGUAAAGGGUACGUAGGCGGGUAAGCAAGUUAGAAGUGAAAUCCUAUAGCUAAACUAUAGUAAGCGUUUAAAACUGCUCAUCUUGAGGUAUGGAAGGGAAAGUGGAAUUCCUAGUGUAGCGGUGAAAUGCGCAGAUAUUAGGAGGAAUACCGGUGGCGAAGGCGACUUUCUGGCCAUAACCUGACGCUGAGGUACGAAAGCGUGGGUAGCAAACAGG
rnacentral:rRNA from 1 species